CGUACAGAACCUUCCUCCGAGUGGGGGAUAGCCCGGAGAAAUCCGGAUUAAUACCUCAUAGUAUUAUCAGGUGGCAUCAUUUGAUAAUUAAAGAUUUAUUGCUUGGAGAUGGCUGUGCGGCUGAUUAGGUAGUUGGUUGAGGUAAAGGCUCACCAAGCCGGCGAUCAGUAACUGGUGUGAGAGCACGACCAGUCACACGGGCACUGAGACACGGGCCCG
rnacentral:rRNA from 1 species